rnacentral:rRNA from 1 species
UACGGAGGGGGCUAGCGUUGUUCGGAAUUACUGGGCGUAAAGCGUGUGUAGGCGGAUCGUUAAGUACCUUGUGAAAUCCCACGGCUCAACCGUGGAACGGCUGGGUAUACUGGCGGUCUUGGGCCAUUCAGGGGCGACUGGAACAAGCGGUGGAGCGGUGAAAUGCGUAGAUAUCGCUUGGAACGCCGAAGGUGAAAACAGGUCGCUGGGGAUGUGCCGACGCUGAGACACGAAAGCCAGGGGAGCAAACGGG